ensembl:lncRNA
UGCACCAUGGGUGGAAAAACCAAUUUUAUGACCUUUUUUUAACUUGUCCAGAAAAACUGCUUCUUCUGUUAUAAGAACAUUCUAUCAGUGUUCUCUAGUCUUCCCUUAUAAACCAACAUUCAUACCCCAUGAUUCCUUUGCUAUCCUUGUCCAAGAUAGUGUUAUAGUGUUAGAUAACUUAGUAAUUCAAAAUAUGCUGUGGCGUUUUGCAUGAGAAAAUAAUAAAUCCAUGUCUAUUCAUUGCAAUACAAAUACGACUAAAGACAACAAUAGAUCCUUUCAGUUUCUCAUCAAACUCUCAGCUCUACCAAAGCUAUUUUCUAGCUUUAAGAUUUUGUCUGACUAUGUGCUAGACUUCAUCACACCACAAGAAACAGAAGACAUGAAGAUUAGAUAUUUUAGAAGGAAAAAAAACAGUUACAAAACACUGAAUAUCCUAGGACAUGCUCUCUUAACACAACAGUUGCAAGGCAGUGGCUGAUGUAAACAAUGAUAAUUACUUCCUCUAGUCUUCUGAAUAGUCAAUUGCAAUGAAAGUGAUGCUGUAUUGUUCAUAAACCAGCUUAUCUGUUUGCAAGCUGGGGCGUCAAGCACUCAAGUGGCAGAAAAUAGUUGAGAUCUAAAAAGAAAUAUGUUGUUUCCAUUUUCUAUAUUGAUUGUCAAUAAUAUGGCUUAUACCAGUGUUACAUCUAGGAGCAGCCAUUUCUAAUACCCUUGUGUUCUGCGAAAGGGGGGUCAUUUAGCUCCGUCUGCUUUUCCACAUGUAAUCCAUCCUUGUGGUGCCUGAACCACUUCCUGAAAUUAAUUUCUAUUUUUGCCUAUGGCCUCCGAGAUUGGUACCACCUCCCCAUGUAACUGCAUAAAAGGUGGGAGCUGGUGAGGUGGAGCUACUCCAUGUCACCCAUGUGUUCUCACUUUCUAAACAUAUUCCCUGCUGGCAUUGUGGGCACAGAUGGAAAAAAAAAAUCACCACGUAUCUGCCUUGAUGAACCAGCUGAAAGUUUUUCUCUGUAAAGGGAAAUCUCCACCAGCCAUCUCAGAGAUGGGAGAAUCACAGAAGUACAGUACAGUUGAGGUAGGAGUGACCUCUGGAGCUCAUGUGAUACAAUCUCCCUGCCUAAACAGGGCAACCUGGAGCUUCUUGCCAGGACUGUGUCCAGCUAUUACCUAGGACUGAUGAAGAAUUGCUGCUUUAACCCAUAUAAACAUUGGAGAGAGCCCAUGGUACUGAAUAAUCCAGCAAGGUUCACCUCAUUUUGCUCCCUUCCUUUCUAUGUCUUCCUUUGUCAAGCAGCUCUUCUCUUGGAUGGGACUGGCUCCAGGUGACACGUGGCACAGCUGUCUCCCUGCAGGAAAGAGAUGAAAGAAAUGGGUCAGCAUGAUAUGGAAUUGACAGAACUGAAGGCUUUACCUCCACUGUUUACAGCUUAUCAAUGCAAGCGCUUUCACUAAAACAUGAACAUCAAACUUGUGAACAGCUUCAUGUGAGCACACUGAAGAGAACUGCCAGACAUCAAGAACAACGGCCUGUUGCAAGUAAGUCUGCGUUUAAAAAACAAGGGAUGUUGUCAUCUUUA